rnacentral:lncRNA from 1 species
GCACGUUCAAGCUCACACCGGUGCGCAAUGUUUUGCUACGUUUUCCGGGUUGAACGACACGUUUCCUGGAAACGGUGUGCAAUGGGUUUGAGAUGCGUUUUCUCUUGUUUGGUGGGUGUGUCAGAAAUGUCGGCCCAAUCAGCGGCAGCAUGUAUAUAAACCACGCGGUAUUAAAGAGACACCUCGCACAAUGGGUCCUAGUAAAGUAGUUUACAAAUGUGUCCGCUGCAGCUCGGUAUAUGCAACAAUUGAAGACAUUAAUAUUUUUAACUUCAUUGCAAGGCAAGUUUAUUUAUAUACCAAAUUUCAUACACAGUGGUAAUGAAGUGCUUUACAAAAAAUGAGAAUGAUAAUUAAUACAAGGUAUUUAAAAAUUAAGAACUAGAAAUAAAAUAAUUUAAAUUAGAAUUGAUUAGCUACCAGGAGAUAAAAUAGAUGUGUUUUCAGUCAGAAUUUGGUAAGAUGUGUGCUUUCAUUUGUUUCAGCAAUCCCUUUGGAACAGGCUAGUGCAUCAAAUGGACCUAGUCAACUUCCACUAGGCCUACACAUUCCCGCUGCACCACUGCAUUUGCCCCCAGCUCCUGCACCACAGAAGUUGGCUCCUGCACCACUUAAUUUGUCUCCGACUACUGCACCACUUAAUUUGUCGGUUGCUGGACCAUCACCUGUCUGUGUUCCAAAGUGGUACCAGUGUCAAACCCCCAACUAAUGCAUAAAGGUACAUUGUUCAUUCCUAGCACAAUUUUUCCGUUUAUAUAUUUUCUGUGACUUAUCUAUUUAAAUGUGUGCUAUAGAUACUAAGCCAUGGACGCACAAUGCAACAUUGCUUCUAAUUUCUCUGACAAAGCAAAUGGCUGAAGACUUUCAAUCUCCUGUAAUUAAAGAAGUAGAAGCUGACAAAGCAAAUGGCUGAAGACUUUCAAUCUCCUGUAUUAAAGAAAGUAGAAGUGUGGAAAAAGGUAGCUGCACAAAUGCUGGCAAAAGGAUAUGACUUUGGAGCAGAGGCAUGUGACAAUAAGUUCAGGCAGUUAAAACACAGAUACAAAACAAUAGUGGACAGUAAGAAGAAGACUGGGAGUGGUGCCAGCAGCUGGGUCUUUUUCUCAUCAAUGGAGGACCUCCUGGCUGAUGAUCCUAGUGUGGAACCAGUCUUGAUCGUGUCAUCUUUUGCUGGUGAUAAUCUUUUCUGUUCUAGUUUUUUUUUUUUUUUUUCUAUUCUAACUAUUAAAAAUCUUAUACAUUAUUGGAUCUUAUUUGUAAGUUUUAAUUCAAUCACCCAGUGAUGUCAUAUAAUGGCCUCACAAUUGCAUUCACGUUGGAUACAAAGUAGCUCCAAUGUUGUCAUCUACUUUUACUGUAUAACUUGUUAGUGUUACUAACAGCUUUAUUUGACAGAUGUCGAUUAUGUGACUCGGGUAAUUAGAAGAUGGGUUAACUGGAUGUUUAAUGUAGCUUUGAAGGAAAGUGAUGUUUGCUGCCUUGAUCAUUGCCAUUUUUAGGCCACCAAGUUUAAUAUUUCUUUCCACUCAGGAUCUUCAUCAACUUCAGGACCAUCAACUUCAGGACCUAAGCCAUCAGCAGAACAUGGCAAAAAGAGAAAGCACAAGUCUGAAGCACCUGAGUGGUUUGAGCAGUAUGUCACUGAGCAGAGGAGGCAGAUGUCAGAGCUCAUGGCCCUGCAAAAGCAAGCAGUGGAAGUGGCAAGUGAACGUAACAACAUCUUAAAAGAAUUUGUUUCUGCUUUGAAGAAGAAAUAGAAACUUGUGUUUUCUCCUUUUGCCAUAUUCUGCUGAUAUUUAGGUUCUAUUUUGUUUCCUUCAGUAUACUGUACAUCAUGCCAUUAAACAAUCACCUCACCUUAAUGUAUUUUUUAUUUAUUUUAUUUUAUUUUUUUUUUUUUAUUUCUAAUUAUUUUUAUUUCCUAUUUCUUUUAUUAUAAACUAAAAACCUACUAGUAAAACUUAGGUCCUGAAGUAUUUUCAGGGUGUCCUGCUUGACAGUCAUUGUCAUCGUUUCCAUCCACCUCUUCACAAUCCUCCAUUUGGUGGCCUUCCUCCCUCAAGAGGAAAUUGUGCAGAACACAUGCAGCUGUGAUAACUACUGGUACUUUUUCAAGGUCUUCCAUGGGCAAGUACUUCAGACGUCUCCAUUUCCCCUUUAGAAGGCCAAAUGCCCUUUCAAUCACAACUCUGGUUGAGCUGUGGAGUGUGUUAAAAUUUUUUUGCCUUCUUGAUAAGUGCCCAUUAUCUCUGUAUGGUGUAAUGAGAGAUGUGCUGAGCGGGUAUGCAGAGUCUCCAAGCAGGUGGUAGUCACUUCUCAUUGCAUCCUGGAGAUGGCCAUAUAAUGGGCAGUUCCGAAAUACCCUAGCAUCAUGCACAGACCCUGGCCAACCAGUGUACACAUCCAGGAACAUCAUCUGUGAUGUACACACUGCUUGGAGUUGAAUACUUGCAUGUCCCUUUCUGUUAAUGUAACUGUUUCUGUGGAGUGUGGGUGCUGGGAUGGGAAUGUGUGUGCCAUCGAUUGCUCCAAUGACUCCAGGGAAGCCAGUUUUAUCCUGAAAGCCAUUUGCCAGGCUUGCAAACUCCUCCUCUCUGGGCCAUCGAAUGUAUUCAUUUCUUAGUGUACAAAGGACCUUGCAAAUGUCAGAAAAGAUAUAAUGAAGGGUUCCUUUUGACAUGUCAAACUGGUCUGCAACACCCCUGAAGCUCUCUUGGUUUGCCAACAACCAAAUGGAGCACAGCAAUUUUUUGGGGGUGUCCAAGGUUACAUUUAUCAGGAGAGGACCAACUUUCUCACAGAGAGCCUGUAGAAAAGUAUGUGCAAUAUUUAUAGUAGAGAUUUCUACAUCGCUAUGAUGCUGUAAAUAAGCUGACACAAAUCUUGCUAUGUCUGUUGUAUACACACUGAUGCACAUACUGCUAUAUGGGAAUUUGUAAAUAAAUGUAAUUAACAACAAAAUAAAUUCACAAGAGCAAGUAUAUUGUUUGCACAUGUUUAUUUACAUUAAAGGCAAAAUAACUUAAAUAAUAAGAGCACAAGUAUAGAUCUAGAACUUCUUUAAGUCUGUCUAAAUAUUUAUUAGUAAUUGCAAUGUCUUCUGGUCUAUUUUCUUUCCUUAGGAAGGUGUGCUAGACACUGAUUCAUUCUGGACGGCAAGGGCAGUGACUGUAACAUCGAGGGUACUUUGCAGUAUUAAACAAGUAUUUAUAUCAAUAUCAUCAGGCUCCGAAAAUUCUUCAAAAAGAACACAGAGAAUGGCCUUCUCAGCUGCCAUAGUUGCAACGCUUGCGUCAUCACAACAGGGUGUUCAACACGCCACCGUUUCCGUUUAAAAAACGUUUUGCAACGUUUUGUCGGGGCUGAACGCAGCCCUGAAGACUUGUCAGAUAAGAGGUGAGCUAAUCAUAGAAUGAAGACCCAGGUAAACAUUACCUUAUGAAUUAAUCUUUUCUGUUUCUUAUAGCAUUAUUGUUGUGUAUUGUUUGUAGUGUGAUCAACGUUUGCAUAAGUACUAGUAGACAUGGUAGGGAAGUAACACGUAACAUUUUAAUUAUAUUUUGAUAAAAUGAACGAAAUUAACGAAAUUACUCGAAAAAAAAAAAAAUUAGUUCAUUAUGCUGAACAAGACUCAAAUAUCAGAGUUGGUAAAAUGAUCCGAACUUCCCAUCACUAGUUUAAAAGGGGCUAUGUAUCAAUAUUUGAAAGCAUGAUCAGCAGUGCAGCGAUUGGCUGACGGCAAUGUAAUGACAUAAUUUAAUUUAAAAGACACCUACGAAAAACUUGACAAUUUUCUGGACUUUUAUAAGGAAACAGCCAAGCGAACAAAACUACAUAAAUGUUAUAAUAGAUAAAUAAAAUGUGCACUUUUUUUAUUUUAUUUUUAUUUUUUACAUGAUUCCCAAUUAUUUAGAUUUGCGAUUUAUAAUAUUUCUAAAGUCUUUACAUUUUUAUUUCAAUGUAGUAAUUAGCUAUUCAUUUAAUUAAAUAUUUGGACAGAUUUAUUAUGUGACCGCAUUAAUGAAAGUUUCUUAGGCUAGCAUGGACUACACUACAUUAUUUUAUUAUCUUUAAAUACAUUUUUAAAUUAUUCUUAUUUUAAAUUAUUGUCCCUGGAUCAGUAGGAUACUCUUGUAAUAAAGUAGCGGUGGCAGUGGACAGAUUCUAAGGAUCAGUUCUGGUUAAAAAGAUGCAAUCUAAUCAUAGACUUUAUAAAACCAGGAUCUAAUCCUGUUUACAUGAAAUAAACCUGCUCCUGAGCAGGUUUAAGCUUAUGGACCUGUUGCUAUGACAGCAACUCCAGGAUGAGCUUCGAAGAAUCAAAUGAUCCAAGAUCAUGCCAAAUCGUAAACAAUCAAAUCCAGCUUACUGAGUUAGCGACGUAUGAGGAAUGGGCCCCAGUUGUCACGCCCCUGGACUCAUUUCAUUGUUUUUUUUUUCCUCCCCACUGUGUGCCGUGUUCCCUUUAAUUAGUCAUUCCUUGCACCUGUGUCUUCCCAAUUAUCCUGUGUUCAAAAGCCCCAGUCCUUUCAGUUUGUUUUUGUUGGUUAUACUUGUUGGAUGUCUUCCUUGUUUUCUGUUUCUACAUUUUGGAUUAUUAAAGAUUUUUGUGUUUACUCCAGCGACUCCUCGUUCCCUCUUAGGGAGAGUAUGACAGAAUAACCGACCGAAACAGUUUAAAUUGCGUGUUUCCCUUCUGUUUUUGCUCAGUUUUUUUCUGUUGUGUAUUCCACAUGGAUCCCUUCACUCGCCCUGAAUUCCUCCUCCUCAUGCUGGAGCAGGGAGACAAAGCUCUUGAGGACCAUACCAAACUGUUCCUGUUGAAAGUGAAAGUGAU